rnacentral:rRNA from 1 species
AACGCGAAGAACCUUACCAAGGCUUGACAUGUUCUCGAUCGCCGUAGAGAUACGGUUUCCCCUUUGGGGCGGGUUCACAGGUGGUGCAUGGUUGUCGUCAGCUCGUGUCGUGAGAUGUUGGGUUAAGUCCUGCAACGAGCGCAACCCUCGUUCCAUGUUGCCAGCACUUCGGGUGGGGACUCAUGGGAGACUGCCGGGGUCAACUCGGAGGAAGGUGGGGACGACGUCAAAUCAUCAUGCCCCUUAUGUCUUGGGCUUCACGCAUGCUACAAUGGCCGGUACAAUGGGUUGCGAUACUGUGAGGUGGAGCUAAUCCCAAAAAGCCGGUCUCAGUUCGGAUUGGGGUCUGCAACUCGACCCCAUGAAGUCGGAGUCGCUAGUAAUCGCAGAUCAGCAACGCUGCGGUGAAUACGUUCCCGGGUCUUGUACACACGC